rnacentral:rRNA from 1 species
UGGGGAAUAUUGCACAAUGGAGGGAACUCUGAUGCAGCGACGCCGCGUGAACGAAGAAGGCUUUCGAGUCGUAAAGUUCUUUUAUAUGGGAAGAUAAUGACGGUACCAUAAGAAAAAGCCCCGGCUAACUACGUGCCAGCAGCCGCGGUAAUACGUAGGGGGCUAGCGUUGUCCGGAAUCACUGGGCGUAAAGGGUUCGCAGGCGGAAAUGCAAGUCAGGUGUAAAAGGCAGUAGCUUAACUGCUGUAAGCAUUUGAAACUGCAUAUCUUGAGAAGAGUAGAGGUAAGUGGAAUUUUUAGUGUAGCGGUGAAAUGCGUAGAUAUUAAAAAGAAUACCGGUGGCGAAGGCGACUUACUGGGCUCAUUCUGACGCUGAGGAACGAAAGCGUGGGUAGCAAACAGG